rnacentral:rRNA from 1 species
GGGUUGUGAGGUUAAGCGACUAAGCGUACACGGUGGAUGCCCUGGCAGUCAGAGGCGAUGAAGGGCGUGCUAAUCUGCGAUAAGCGCCGGUAAGGUGAUAUGAACCGUUAUAACCGGCGAUACCCGAAUGGGGAAACCCAGUGUGACUCGUCACACUAUCAUUAACUGAAUCCAUAGGUUAAUGAGGCGAACCGGGGGAACUGAAACAUCUAAGUACCCCGAGGAAAAGAAAUCAACCGAGAUUCCCCCAGUAGCGGCGAGCGAACGGGGAGGAGCCCAGAGCCUGAAUCAGCAUGUGUGUUAGUGGAAGCGUCUGGAAAGGCGCGCGAUACAGGGUGACAGCCCCGUACACAAAAGCGCAUGUGCUGUGAGCUCGAUGAGUAGGGCGGGACACGUGGUAUCCUGUCUGAAUAUGGGGGGACCAUCCUCCAAGGCUAAAUACUCCUGACUGACCGAUAGUGAACCAGUACCGUGAGGGAAAGGCGAAAAGAACCCCGGCGAGGGGAGUGAAAAAGAACCUGAAACCGUGUACGUACAAGCAGUGGGAGCCCCACCACUAAGCCAGUGGUGAACUCCACAUACGCAUCCUUUGCUGAGGAUACGGUUAACGGAGCGAAAGCGACGUUCAACCGCAAAAGAAGCAGAGGGGGCUUAGUGGUGGGGUGACUGCGUACCUUUUGUAUAAUGGGUCAGCGACUUAUAUUCUGUAGCAAGGUUAACCGAAUAGGGGAGCCGGAGGGAAACCGAGUCUUAAUUGGGCGUUAAGUUGCAGGGUAUAGACCCGAAACCCGGUGAUCUAGCCAUGGGCAGGUUGAAGGUUGGGUAACACUAACUGGAGGACCGAACCGACUAAUGUUGAAAAAUUAGCGGAUGACCUGUGGCUGGGGGUGAAAGGCCAAUCAAACCGGGAGAUAGCUGGUUCUCCCCGAAAGCUAUUUAGGUAGCGCCUCGUGAAUUCAUCUCCGGGGGUAGAGCACUGUUUCGGCUAGGGGGCCAUCCCGGCUUACCAACCCGAUGCAAACUGCGAAUACCGGAGAAUGUUAUCACGGGAGACACACGGCGGGUGCUAACGUCCGUCGUGAAGAGGGAAACAACCCAGACCGCCAGCUAAGGUCCCAAAGUCAUGGUUAAGUGGGAAACGAUGUGGGAAGGCCCAGACAGCCAGGAUGUUGGCUUAGAAGCAGCCAUCAUUUAAAGAAAGCGUAAUAGCUCACUGGUCGAGUCGGCCUGCGCGGAAGAUGUAACGGGGCUAAACCAUGCACCGAAGCUGCGGCAGCGAACGUAUCACUUAAAGCGAUUCAGCGGGUUACGAUUGACGGAGCGAAGCGACGUCAAAGCGUAUACAAAGUCGAGUCGGUUUAAGGAUACGUUCGUUGGGUAGGGGAGCGUUCUGUAAGCCUGCGAAGGUGGCCUGUGAGGGUUGCUGGAGGUAUCAGAAGUGCGAAUGCUGACAUAAGUAACGAUAAAGCGGGUGAAAAGCCCGCUCGCCGGAAGACCAA